rnacentral:rRNA from 1 species
UGGGGAAUCUUGCACAAUGGGCGAAAGCCUGAUGCAGCGACGCCGCGUGCGGGACGAAGGCCUUCGGGUUGUAAACCGCUUUCAGCAGGGACGAGGCGAUAAGUGACGGUACCUGCAGAAGAAGCCCCGGCUAACUACGUGCCAGCAGCCGCGGUAAUACGUAGGGGGCAAGCGUUAUCCGGAUUCAUUGGGCGUAAAGCGCUCGUAGGCGGUCUGUUAGGUCGGGAGUUAAAUCCGGAGGCUCAACCUCCGCCCGCUCCCGAUACCGGCAGACUUGAGUUUGGUAGGGGAAGGUGGAAUUCCUAGUGUAGCGGUGGAAUGCGCAGAUAUUAGGAAGAACACCAGUGGCGAAGGCGGCCUUCUGGGCCAUAACUGACGCUGAGGAGCGAAAGCUAGGGGAGCAAACAGGAUUAGAUACCCUGGUAGUCCUAGCUGUAAACGAUGGACACUAGGUGUGGGAGAAUACGUCUUCCGUGCCGCAGCUAACGCAUUAAGUGUCCCGCCUGGGGAGUACGGCCGCAAGGCUA